CACGUAGGCACCAAGCGUUGUCCGGAUUUAUUGGGCGUAAAGAGCUCGUAGGCGGUUGAGUAAGUCGGGUGUGAAAACUCUGGGCUUAACCCAGAGCCGCCACUCGAUACUGCUCUGACUUGAGUUCGGUAGGGGAGCAGGGAAUUCCUAGUGUAGCGGUGAAAUGCGCAGAUAUCAGGAGGAACACCAAUGGCGAAGGCAGCUCGCUGGGACGUGACUGACGCUGAGACGCGAAAGCGUGGGGAGCAAACAGG
rnacentral:rRNA from 1 species